UGAGCUCCGUCGAGCCAUCUUUCCCUUCUCUCUCUCCAUUUCCUCCGCAUACUCUGUUCCGAGGCUCCUUCUCCAUGUUUUGGAGCUCCGCCAUCGCUAGCCAUCGGACUGAGCCACCCACGACCGAGAUCCUCCCCUCCGUCGAUGUGCCGGUGAGCCACCUUCCCUUUGUUCCAUUUCUAGUUAAACCGAUUCAAGCUUUUCCUUUCCUCUGUUCCGGAUCCAAACCGAGGAGGUCCUCAGUUUUUCUCUUCACGGCCAAGCCACCGCGGCAACGUGCCGCAGGCCACAACCACCCCGCCGCCGGUCGUGCGUCCACGAGCCACUGGCCGAGCCACCGCCAGGCCAUCGGCCUCCC
rnacentral:lncRNA from 1 species